rnacentral:misc_RNA from 1 species
UUUUUAUUCCCCCACUGCAAGAAAAAAUCAGGCUCUAAUGCUUUAUUUGCUCUCUGGCUUUUCUCGUCUUUGUCCAUGCUGUAAGAUAAUUGCAUGAAGAAUGAAGGAAAAAUUGAAGAACAACCCCCGAGAAAAUAUAUAGAGAUGCAAAUUCUCUAAAAACAAGACAAAUCCCAGAUCGUCUAUAUCCCAGAUUAUACCAACUCUCUCUCUCUCUCUCUGUCUCUCAAUCUUUUUUCUUGUAUGUGUUUGCUCUGGUAAACUCUUCUUCUCAAAAUCUAGCUUCCUUUUUUUUGUUUCUCUCAGUUUCGUGGGUUUCUUCUCUUUUUCUCCUUCUCCUUCUUCUUCUUCUUCU